AAACUUAGGAUAAAUAUAAACCAAGAACCUUCAAAGUUCAAAAUAUGGACUAAUCCCCAUAGUUUUUG
rnacentral:tRNA from 1 species